CACGUAGGGCGCAAGCGUUGUCCGGAAUUAUUGGGCGUAAAGAGCUCGUAGGUGGUUUGUUACGUCCGCUGUGAAAUCCUAGGGCUUAACCCUGGGCUUGCAGUGGAUACGGGCAGACUAGAGGUAGGUAGGGGAGAAUGGAAUUCCUGGUGUAGCGGUGAAAUGCGCAGAUAUCAGGAGGAACACCGGUGGCGAAGGCGGUUCUCUGGGCCUUACCUGACACUGAGGAGCGAAAGCCAGGGGAGCAAACGGG
rnacentral:rRNA from 1 species